rnacentral:lncRNA from 1 species
UGGUAUCCGUAUUUGGAUGGGUUCUGUGGCCAGGGACCUGGGACCCCCAUCUGUGCCUCCGCUUCCUCGGCGUCCGUGUUUGGGCAGCUUCUGUGGCCAGGGACCUGGGACCCCCAAAGUGCGAGGGUUCCUUUUCCUCCCCGUCUUGUCACAUUUGACUUUUGGUGUGUCCUCACAGAUCUGGGGGGCUCCAGAGCCCCUGUCGAGGUCAGUUUGCCCCAGUUUGGGAGUCAGACCGGGGGGAGGGGGUAGAACGCAUCAGCUGGGGACCCAGCUCCAGCCAUCCCUGCACAGCUGUGACGCCUGGGCCAGACGCGUCUCUGUGAACGUGGGCUGGGUGAGGCUUUGACUUCGGCUCACCGUGGGCU